rnacentral:rRNA from 1 species
CCUACGGGAGGCUGCAGUGGGGAAUAUUGCACAAUGGGCGCAAGCCUGAUGCAGCCAUGCCGCGUGUGUGAAGAAGGCCUUCGGGUUGUAAAGCACUUUCAGCGGGGAGGAAGGCGUUAAGGUUAAUAACCUUGUCGAUUGACGUUACCCGCAGAAGAAGCACCGGCUAACUCCGUGCCAGCAGCCGCGGUAAUACGGAGGGUGCAAGCGUUAAUCGGAAUUACUGGGCGUAAAGCGCACGCAGGCGGUCUGUCAAGUCGGAUGUGAAAUCCCCGGGCUCAACCUGGGAACUGCAUUCGAAACUGACAGGCUAGAGUCUUGUAGAGGGGGGUAGAAUUCCAGGUGUAGCGGUGAAAUGCGUAGAGAUCUGGAGGAAUACCGGUGGCGAAGGCGGCCCCCUGGACAAAGACUGACGCUCAGGUGCGAAAGCGUGGGGAGCAAACAGGAUUAGAUACCCGUGUAGUC